UGUAAAAUACAAGUACCUUAUGUAACUUCUUAAGUGAAUUAAUUGUUGUGUAAUCAUCUGACUGGUUCGAUGUGUCCAGUUUGUUUGGCAGGCUUAUGGCAUUGGAUACAUCGACCCAGACGUAAUUCCUUUAGCCAUCCGUCAUAAUUCGGUUAUGUGGAGUGCCACAGUGCCACUUAUAUCUUUUGAAUGCAUCGAGUGGCAUGCAACUGAUAGAGUCAGGAGGCAAUUUGGAUUGAUACAGGGUGUUCCUAGUGAAGAGCGGGAUCUAGGUGCAUCACACGGCGAAGUUCUAACUGGGCCUAAGAAUCAAGAUUGGGCCAACACCCACUCGCGUUGGGUGAUGCAGUGGACCAAUCGAUAUAGUCACACUCUAUCUGAAGACUUGGAGCAUUUACAUUAUCCGUUGGAAAUUUACAUGCAUUGGUACCGAGAAGCAUAUGGUGACCACUUGCAAUUGUCGAACCUUGUUUUUGAAGAGAAUCCAGAAGGUCCUCCACCACCACCACCACUGGCACCAGAACCGGAACCGGAACCGGUAGCCAUACCUCCACCACCACCGCCACCGGAAUCGCCACAACAGGGGGUUGAGUAUUUUGCAUCAUAUGUUCCUGACACGCAUCCGUCUGAUUAUUACUCAGCGUCAGUCCCGUCACACCAACAGUUUUGGGGUGGUUUACAUUUUGAGUAUGGAGAGCAACCUUCAUUCAGUCAGCUGCUUGGUUUCAUGGCAUCGGGGUCGCACUAGUCACAUUCAGGUAAUUAUAUUGACAUUCCCACCGACCAUCAAGCACAUUUGGGUGGUAUUACUCCAGCUAGGAGGUCAUUGGAUUUGAGAUCUCGGGUUCGCACUUCAUCUGAUAAUUUUGGUGCCAGAAUGUCUGUUGACUCGAGCAGAAGUACUGAAGCGGCGGGAGGGAUCAUACAAAGUGGAAACCCUAGACGUAUUCCGAUGACUAUGAUUCAUGAGAGUAAUAGAGCAGUUCAUGAUGAGACUGAUAACUACCUAGUAGACUAUCCAGAGGAUGCGGAUGAGGAUGAGGAUGAGGAUGAUGAUGAGGAUGAGUCUGAGGAUGAGGGUGAUGAUGAGGAUGACGAUGCUGCUGACGAGGAUACAGCGCCUAGUGCAGGUACGGCCACAAGUGAAAAAGGUAAAGGUUACAACCUUAGAGCUGAUCCUCCACGUCGGAGUGCAAAUCGGUAUACACCAUCCGCCUUUAACAGGAUUGCAAAGAAGUGCAGAAAGUUAUACAAAGAUACGAAGUGGGCACCGAGGAAGUGAAGUUGUAACUAUUUAAUUAUUGAGAAUGUUAAUUAGGUUCUUACUACUAUUUAAGAAAUAAUGUGUACUAUUUACUUAUUGAGUAUGUUAACUAGGUAGUUAUCGUUGACUAUGUUAAUUUGGUUAUUAGUAUUUACUUAUUGAGUAUGUUAACUACGUUGUUAUUGUUGAC